UAUACCGUGAAUCUAAAAGUUAUCCUUUCAUUUUUCUCUACUAUAUAAAGCACAAAAGAGAAGUGAAAAAUCAUCCAUUACUAUUUGGAACAAACACUUAGCAAAAGAUGGCAAUCAUCAAGUCCACGAAAUGUAUCCCAAAAUUGGUCACUCUUAUGAUCAUCUGUAUCGUCGUUUUAUCCUCCACGGUACCAUGCCAAGCGCGAUAUGGAAAACCAGCGCGGUCUCCUCCUCCUCCUCCUCCUCCUCCUCCAAGGCCUAAUGUAUGCCCAGCGUGUGUGUGUUGCACCCCUGCACCUCCCGGUGUUUGCUGCGGUUGCUGUGCUUUUCCAGUAGAAGAUCCGCCACCUCCCCCUGCAGUUGUGACUACUCCCUGAAGGCGGAAAUAAUGAUAUCCAUGAAUAAACAGUUUGUUAGCUUGUGUAAUCCCAAUAUAUACUACUAUAUACUAGUGCAUCUGUGCGCAUAUGUUUGUUCUGGUUCUAAAUCCUAAUAAUAAACCGUUCAAAUAAAUGUUAUUGUAAAUUACACGGUGUUA